rnacentral:lncRNA from 1 species
GACAUUUAAACUUCAAAAUCAAUAGAUGAAUAAUCCCAAUUUGUUACAACGAUAGCCAUGAGCAAAUAUUACAAUAAUAGCUACUCUGCAAAAUAAUCUUUAAUCAGUGUUCCUUCUUCAAAUCAUUACGACAAAUAGUUACUCUGGCAAAUAUGACCAAUGCAUUUCACUUCAACUCAGGCAACCUUCUGUAGCUAGCCAUUGAAAUAUAAAUCUGUUAAUUACAUGAAAAGCUACAAAACCAAUAAACUAUAUAAUUUUGUAAAUAAAAUGCUACACUGAUUUCUUCAGAAAUGACUCUGACCAACUGGUGGUCAAAUUCACGGCUCUGUCGUUCUCAAUAGUAGCUCAAACCACGAAUCAUCACUUUUAUGUGAGUAAACCUUAGCAGACAAAUGUUAGCUUCAUCAGCAAAACCAAAUCAUACAUGAAUAUUUUGAAUCACGCUACUGGAACCAAAGAUAAACAAAGAGAGGAGUUCAAAGCUAAAUUCAACAAUUGAGCCUACUCAUUUUACGGAACUGGGCAAAAACAAACAAAGCACGUUUCAUUCAUGAUCCAAUAUCGAGCAACAAAGAAUAUGAACAUACCUAUUAGCCGGUAAACAGCCGGUAAUUGAUUAAAUAAAGAUCACAAUUGAAGACUAAGGUUCAGCGAGAACAGAAGAAAGCAAAUCAACAGCUAACUCAAAUCCUUCAGAUUCCCAGAGAGUGUGCAGCAGACGGGUAGCAGUUUAAAAGAGCUUUGCAAUUUUUUUUUUUUUUUUUUUUGUAUUUGGAGAUUUCAAAUUCUUUAGUUGCAGAAAAAUUGCUUUCCGUUUCUUUAAGUGAGGGGUACGUGUGUGUUUUUGCUGAUGAAUCAAUGCCUGAAUGGGUGUAAGAUGGGAAAGGUGAGAGAUGAGCAAGAUCAGAGAUCCAAGCCGGAGAGGAGGCAGUAAUUGCUCCGGUUCUUUAAGGGGAGGGGUCCGUCCCUUUUUU